AGGCAUCCAUAAUUUUUGUUUUAAAAAAUUUAACACUGACUUCAUUAACUUUUUCAAUAUUGCUCAUCUUAUGUGUUUUUUCAUAAGUGGAAUAGUAUUUUAUUCGAGGAAGGAAUAUGCAAAAUGAAGUAGAAUUCAACACAAUGCAAUGAGACUUUUCGGUUCCGGCCUACGUAAGAUUAAAAGAUGGCCAUGAUCUCACCUUUAAUUCAUGUUGGAUACUAAAACACUGCUUGGAUGAAAUUAACACCUGGACAAACACUGUUAUAUGGUUUGAAGCUAAAUAUGCUACCUGGACCUCCUCAACCAAAGCCAAGUAAUCUGAAGAUGGAAACCAGACUGGCUAGAUGAUUGAUACUCUCUGCUGAUGAAAAAGAAAAAAAAAAGGGAGAUAAAAAGGAAA